CUUUCUAUUAUUUCCCAAAUGUAAAAGCAGAUUGUAUUAUGCCUGUGUACAUACAGCUAUGUUACCUGGCAGUGAAACAUGGGCUGUGACUGCAGAGGACAUGAGAAGGGUUGAAAGGAUUGAAGCCAGCAUGCUCUGCUGGAUGGAUAAUGUCAGUAAAGGAUUUAAGAGAAAAACUAGGUUUCAGGGGCAUCAGUUGUAGUGUGAAAGAGGGAAGACUGCACUGAUAUGAUCAUGUUAUGCAUAUGGAGGUGGAUAGCUGCAUAAAGAAGUGAUGAUUUCUAAUCGUGGAAGGAACAUAUGGAAGGGGCAGACUCAGGAAGAUGUGGGGUGAAGUGGUGACGGAUCUU